CACUUGGGAUUGAGAAGAAGCA
rnacentral:miRNA from 1 species